AAAACUGUAAUUUCAAAGCUCAUUUCUAUAGUUUGUAACUAGGGAAUGAUGAUUGAAAGCAUCUGAUUUCGCUAAGUAGGAAGAGGAGUUACUGUGUCUCUUCUAUCGCAUGAAACUGAGCAGCGUGUGUUGUUUUUAUGUAGCUGCUUUUUAUUAUCGAUUAGCUUUUCUGUUUCUUUAUUGGGGGCAGUGAGAGAGAGAACAGGGACUGAGU